rnacentral:rRNA from 1 species
AUACGGAGGGGGCUAGCGUUGUUCGGAUUUACUGGGCGUAAAGGGCGCGUAGGCGGCCCAUAAAGUCAGGCGUGAAAGCCCCGGGCUCAACCUGGGAAUUGCGUUUGAAACGUGUGGGCUAGAGUCCGCGAGAGGAUGGUGGAAUUCCCAGUGUAGAGGUGAAAUUCGUAGAUAUUGGGAAGAACACCGGUGGCGAAGGCGGCCAUCUGGACCGGUACUGACGCUAAGGCGCGAAAGCGUGGGGAGCAAACAGAAUUAGAUACCCCAGUAGUCC